rnacentral:lncRNA from 10 species
CCGACCCCCGCCUCCCGCCUCCCGCUCCCCGCUCCCCGGGACACCCUUACAGAGCCCAGCACCUCCUUCCCCUCCCGGGGUCUCCCGCUGGACUGCGCUGCGGUUUCUCUGCACAGCGCUUGUCGGGUGUGUUGAGCUGGAGGUCUUGGCGCAGCGACGGGCUUGGGUGGCCAUGUGUUCCCGUGUAGGUGGAGCUCGUAAACGCGAGAAAAAGCCGCGCCCUGGGUCAUUUAAUAGCCUCUUUGCUAGAACGAGACGCCUCCCGGCGUGCCCCCUCUCCAGGGCCAGCCCUGACGGGGAAACAUGAGCGCUCCAUCCGGAUUGACUUCAAGAGCAAGAGUUUGAGAUGGAAAAGCUGGCCACGCCGCUCGGGUUGGGAUGAGGUAAUCCUCACAACCUCUUCCUGGGCGAGGAGAGGAAGGUUGAGGAACACCUGGGCGCAGGAAGAACCUCCCUGCGAAGUGGAGGGUUCUGUGCGGUGCUCAGAGAACCUGCUUCAGGCCUUUGCCGUCCUUCAGGAAUCCGGGAGAACCCGAGAGCGCUCUGCAGAGGAGUUGCAGUAUGCAUGCUGCUGACCUUCCAUUCUCAGGGACAUCCAUCCCUCAAAGCACACCUAGGUGUGAUGGCACAGGAGUUGAACCUGGUGAGCUGGUUCAACCUGAUAAAGUGGAAAACGCUGAAGUAUGUGGAAAACAAGAAACAGGGAUAGAGAAGUAAAAACUACAUUUUCACACACACCACCCCAAGAUCGCCAAAUCACCAAAAUGUGUAUUUGAUAUGUAAUUAAAGUUAGACUUUCAGGCAAUUCCGUCUUACAUUUCUGUCUUAUAUUUCUGUCUUACAUUUUUCCUUUCUUCUCAACCACCCCUAAAGCGUCCUUACCGAAGAUACUUGUCUUCACUAAUACAGCUUUCUCUUCAGUUGUUUUCUCCAAUUGCUCCUAGUCUUGUCACUUAAACAUUUUUUUUUUUUGAGACAGACUCUCACUCUACCACCCAUGCUGGAGUGCAGUGGCACAAUCUCGGCUUACUGCAGCCCUUCCGGGUUCAAGUGAU